AAGUCGUAACAAGGUUUCCGUAGGUGAACCUGCGGAAGGAUCAUUAAUGAAUUUUGUCAGUGGGUUGAAGCUGGCGCCGUUACUGGCGCAUGUGCUCGCUCCUGCAUUCUUCUUAUCCAUACACCUGUGCACCUCUGGGGGUUUUUCUGAGAAGGGGUUUUCCGUGAGGAAGAUACUUGAUCGGGCCCUCGUUUUAUUAUAAACACUUGAUUGAUCUAUGAACGUGACUGUGCCGAAAGGCCAUAAUCUUAUACAACUUUUAACAACGGAUCUCUUGGCUCUC
rnacentral:misc_RNA from 1 species